GCCCACAGCAUCGCAGGCAGGCAGAUCCAUCCCCGGAAAGCGGAAAUCCUGUGCGGCGCAAAAGGGGAGGAGGAACCUCUCCUGGCGAUCUCGAGCAACUUGGGCCGGGCAAUUGUUACCCGAAAAGCGCAUGGCGGAUGCGUGGAUCGAGCAGCAUACAAGCAGGACGGGGUGUCGAGAUCGCGCGCCUGUGACUGCAGCAAGCGCCUCACGGGAUGCGCGGAUGCUCAUUGGCUUGCCAUGACAGAGCUUCAUCGCCUAACCUGCUGAUCUCCCGCCGGACGAUGAGCGCCUUUUCCCCGCCCCGUUCCUUUUCUUUUCCUUUUCUUUUCCUUUUCUGAUCGUCACUCUUGUCGUCCUCGCUCAUCCGUGCUACUGUGCCUGGCCGAGACGAAGCUUUCGCCGGUGCCAUGGUGACGACUGACCUACGAUAGAUACCCGAACGGAGCAGGCUGGCAGGAGGAGCUGGCGUGGGUUUCAGAGCAAGUGACCAAGUGGAGCUCUGAGUCUCUCACCUCCUGCUGUCUCGGUGUCUCCUGCAAUUUGUAAUAACUACUGUAGCAGAUCACGCCAUCGAGCAAGGAGCAACAGGGAAAGCACACACAUCAUCUACAGCCUCAAACAGCAUCCGUCCUUUGGAAUCACAUGGCAACAAGGCAUGCGAAAUGAGAAAAACACGAGGAAAACCGAGCGCACGGGAGGCUAGCUAACUGUACAUGCAUGCACGAGCAGCAACGAUGUCGUCAUAUAUACACCAGCCAUAUCACAGUUACUAAGCUUGUAUGAUGACAUCGUUCCGUCUUUUAAGAACGAAUAGCCACUUGCAUCCCAGGUUUGGAUGCAGAU